UAUUGAUUGAAAUUCUAUGAUUAUUUUAAACAUUAACUUUUAUAGGAGAAGGGGAUGUAGCUUAGUGGUAGAGUAUUUGCCAUACAUGUAUCCAAAAUGAAAAAUUAAAGUUCCAUGGCCCUCUUUGAAAUAAAAAAGAGUCAAUUUAAAUAGAUUUCCAUUAUACAAGUAAUACACGAUUACAGACCUAAUGGAAAAAAGUGAAAUAACACUUAUAGUGAAAACCCUCCUAUUGCCCUAAUCCCCCACCAUUGAAGUAAUGACUACUCUUGCUACCUAUUCUUCCAGAUCUUUUCCCAUGCAUAUAUACAUAUUUACAUACAGCAAUAAUUUUGUGUGAUUUUCAUUCUUUUUUCAUAUAAAUAGUAACAUCCUGCAACUUGAUUCUUUCUCUUUACUGUAUAUCAUAUUUCUUUCCUUCCUUAUACAUAGAAGUUUCCCUAUUAAUUUAAACACCUGCAUAAUAUUCCAUACUAUGGACACAUCAUGGUUGAUUUCAUAAUUCCUUAUUCCUUUUAGAGCUGUCAGGUUCUUUUGUUGCACUCAUAGCUACAGUGAACAACCCCGUACACACUUCUUUAUGAGCAUGGACAAGUAUUGCUGUACAAUAGGGAUCUAGGCAUGGGAUGGUUAAGGUGAAGACUAGUGUAGAUAGGGAAUUUUAAAUGCCCUUCAAAAAGUGGUGUCAACUUACACUCCAGGCAACAGAAUAUGACGGCACUCAUUUCCCCAUACCUUUCAUCACUCGAUACUCUCCAUCUUUUUGAUGAAUUUUGAUCCAGAGAUAACCUUUCAUCUUCCAGAUUCUCAGUGAAAAUCACCUGACUGAAUUACAUAAGGAUUUAUUUGAGGGCCUGCUGUCCCUUGAGUAUUUGUAAGUUAGUCAGUUGAACAUAUUUAUUUGUGAGUAACUACCUAUGAAAUGUAUAAAGGGUUCGAAUUAGAUAAUUUCUAAAACCUCUGCCAGCAAUAAAAUUGUGCACUUGUGGGUCUCAUUCCAUCUUUGGCAUUAAAUGCUUUCUCUACAUUUUCAGAUUUUUAAAAAUGGUAUAGACAAAAUACAGAUGUAGGAUGGAGGUGUGGCUCAAGCAGUAGAGCACAUAUUUUGCAAGCAUAAAAACCUGAGUUGAAACCCCAGUACCAACAACAACAACAAAAAGAUACAGUUGUAAAAAAACUAAUUAUGACACUUCUAUGAACCUUGGUUUAUAAGUGUUCUUAUUAGUCUAUGGCCCAUGGAUUGAAUUCAGUCCACAGUCUGGCCUCAAACCUCAGAUUCCAAGAAGUCAGGAUUACAGGUGUAUAGCACCACACCUGGCUGCCCUAACUCUUCACUAAUUACAAAAUAAAAAUCUCAACAGCUUUUGUUGACAAGGAGAGAAUACUUGCACAGUAUUUCUGUCCAUUCAGAGAUAACAAAGUACUAUGUUCUUUGUCUUGAAAGCUUGGUUUUUAUCCUUCUCCCAUGAGGUGCAGUUGUGUGUACUUCAUUGAGCUCAUUAAUGCUUAUAUUAAUUGGCUUACUAAUCUAAUGAGCUUUUUUCAAAUAAUCCUCCUUUCAAAAAAAGACUUUUGGAAGCAGGUAUAAAGAGCCUCACAUGGCACAAAUAUAGUCCUUUGAAUUAUCAACCCUUAUAGGCUCUAAGGCACCAACCACUUCUGUAUUGGUCUGUUGGGGCUCCCCUGCCAUCUGGGCUCCCAAAUCCUACUAACACAGUUUGGAGAAAACCAAAUGAGAUUAUUGCUUGAUGGAGUUGACCUUUGUUCUGCUUUGAAGUACUUUGUAAGCUAAUUAUAUCACAUUAGCAUAUGUAUUCUGCUUCAUCUUUUUCAAUUUGUGCCAAUAGAAAAGAGCUAAAAUAGAAUAUGCCAUGGACUGUGGUGCCUGGUAUCGAAGGCAUAAAGAUGAGUAAGACAGGAUUUCUCCCCUCUAAGAACUCAUGGGCUCCCAGAGAAGCAAGUGUAUAACCUCAAACCAUAAUUCAGCAGAGGUGCUGAAGAGGUCAGUCAGAAAAAAAUAAACUGCAUUCCUUCUAAGUAGUCAUUUUUCUUCUACUCACUUCCCAGCUAGUCAUUGACUUUAUAAAUAUUUGUGUUUGCUUAAAUAUUUGUGUUAGUCUCAAACAUGCUGGGCAAUGCAGAGGAGCAAGACCUAGUUCAUGCUUUCAAGGAGUUUAUGUUUGGAAGGAAAUGGAUAUACAAAUAACUAUUAAGAAGUAAUGGAGAGCUGGGAGUGCGGCUUAAGCAGUAGCCCACUUACCUUGUAAGCAGGAAUCCCUGAGUUUAAACCCAGGUUUGGCAAAAAAAAAAAAAAGCAAUUCUAAAUUCUAUGUAUUCAUAUUAAUUUGAUAUCAAAUAGCUAAUCAGUGCAAUAUUUCACUUUUCCUAGAGAUUUAUCCAGCAAUAAAAUACAGUAUAUUGAAAGAAGGACAUUUGAAACACUACCUUUUUUGAAGUUUAUAAAUCUUCAUGACAAUUUGCUCCUAGAACUGAAGUUGGGAACAUUUUAGGCAUGGCAUAGAAUGCAACUUUUAUACCAGUUGUUGACAUCAAAAACCUGGACACCGUUCUCGGCAGCAUGGGACUCAAGUUGCCCAUAAGGAACUUGAAGAUCUGACACAAAACCUACCAGUCAGUGCUGGUAAUAAAGUGGCUCUGAGAACUUUGGAAGAGGAAGUGAAAGCUUUUACUGGGAGACAAGAUUGAUUCUAAUGACCUACAAAAUAUUCUAAAAAACAUGGGGCUUAGCUUUCAGACAAAGAAUAUAGACAGCUGCUGAAAACAUUGCCCACUGAUGGCUAUGAGAAAGUUCAUGUGGAAAAGCUGAUAGAUAAAAGUAGAAGCUAUUACUGGCACAAAGUUGAUACAAAUAAGCUUAAAAGUAUUUUGGACAAUUUGGGAAUUGAGCUCACUGCUAGUGAAUACUUGAACUUGCAAAGACAUUGAGAGUUAAUGAUGAUGGAAAAGUGUGUCAGAAAAGGUUGAUGAAGGGCAUAGAUUCUCUAAAAUGUGAGUAAGAGGCAAAAUGAAAAUGGUUUUUUAAGACCUUUAUUUGUACUGUGAAAAUAAGAAUCCUCCUGUCUUUUAUUACUGAGUCUUUAUUGAUGCUAAAGUAGAUCUGUACUCUGCCUAAUCAUUUCCUGUACUGUGAUUGGCAGCAAGUGUUAGGCUUCCUUACUCAAUCCUAAAGGAAAAAAAAAUUAACUAGAAAGCAAGAGAUGAAGAGUGAAGACUUUUACAUAAGGAUUUCAACCAAAAGCAGAGAUAAAUUAUUUACGAGUACAGGCUACAAAAAUAACCCGUUUUGCAGAAUGUCAUUCAACUCAACCUUCUUUAAGAAUAUUUCAUUUGGUAGACUUGUUCCCAAUAUAAGAUUUAAGGAAAUUGAUUCUAAUUUUUAUUCUUUUGUUUAUUGAGAUGACUGGAGUUUUGGUAUUUGUCUUUAAAUCUUAACAAUAAUGCUAAGAAGUGAAUGAUUUUUAAUUAUAAAAAAUACAUGCUCAUCAUUAAAGAAGAGAAAUAAUAUAGCACCAUAAAUACAUAGUCCAAUUUUAGAAUAGUUCCAUUUUACUAUACUUCUUUUUCCUGUCCCUUACUUGGAAGGUGAUGUGAUGUGGAUAAGCUAGAUACACUUUUAGAAAACAUGGGAAUCAAGAUCACAGAAAAAGAAUUCAUGGAUCUAACAGAAAAACUAAUGGCCAGAUAAUGAUGAGCACUGUGACCACUCCUGUAGUUUUUAAGGGGUACUUACUCUAUUAGACUUGAAAAUAGGAAUUUCUGCAACCAAAGGGUCAAAAUACAAAAUAUUUUCCAAAGAAGAGCUUAGUCUUAGUGUAAGAGAAGAAACUUUGUCCUUUUUUUUUCCACCAUUAACCUAAAAUCCAAUUUCUUUCCCUAUGGAUACUAAGCACUGCAUAAAAUAAAGGCAAGACUUUGUGAAACCAGACAAUAAUCAGAAAGUAGAAUUCAAAGCAGAAGGGAAAGUUUACAAGAAGGGGGAGUUGUAUCUAUGUCUUCCAAAGCAUCUGGUUCCCACAUCCACUACCACUCCAUUAAAAGAUACUCAGACAAAUCCAAUGUACACCAUUCCUCUUUUUCUUACUUGAGCCUUCUGACCCCUUCAAUAAUAUUUUCCUUUCAUCACUACUCUGUAUUCUCAAGUAUAUAAAUUCAUACUCUCCAGAAUUAUCUUCU